rnacentral:lncRNA from 1 species
AGCCUUGGAAUUCGAAAAAAACUCCUUUUGGUUUGCAACAAGGAGCAAAACCGGUUUUUUUUUUGGAAAACUUUAGCCAAAAAAAAAAAAAAAAAAAUGCAACGUUUGUUAUGUCUUUUUGUAUGUAGUGGACACACCAGAGAAUUAUGAUGAUGUCAUCGUUAAUGGACAGGACUCUCAAAGUGUAAAGGGUGAGUCACACAGAACCAGAUUGUUUCUGUGAUAAACUGAACCUGCUUUUCCACCAUUAAUGAAUCAUCAUGGCUUUAUCAGGUUUAAUCUAAUAGUCUCAGACAGUCAUGAGGAGAAUGAGAUGAAUGACACAAGCUGUGUUACACAUUACAGUGUGAGGUUUUAUUUCACAUGUGUAUCAGAGGGAGAUCAGGAGGAGUAUGAUGAUGUGAAGAACAGCAAUGAAGAUGAGAGAAACCUGUUAGACUAUGAUGAUGUGGGGGAGGAGUCAAAUAAAGAAGGAGGGGCCAUAUGACUCAAUGACCACACCCUCUGCCUCUGUUCAUGAAAUCAUAUUACAGUUACUGGAGCUGCUGGGAGUUUUUUCAUAUUGCUACUAAUGCAUCAGUGCCUUAUGUUUUUGUUAUUUCUUUUUUUUUUUUGUGAAAAGUUAGAUGCUUUGCAAAAUUCAGUAUCAACAAAUUUAAAUAUUUGUAUUUUAGCAUUUGGUCUUUUAUUACUAUUUUGAUAUCAAUGCUUUUCACCUAAUAAACAAAAUAUAUAAUUCCAACAUCAUGUCACAAAAAUACUUUUAAAAGAGUCGUUAGAGAAAAGAAGAAAGUUAUGCUAUAAAUGUUUAAGAAAGUAUUUUUAGGCACUACUGUACUUUUAGGCUGCUGACAGCAUUUUUUACCUAAAUAUAAUGAUAAAAAUAGAUUUACCACAUAAUAGAUAUUAUAAAGCUUCAUGUUUUUCCAUAAGCUUACUGUCAUAGCAUCAGUUCUGUACUGUUAGCUUGAAUUAACUUAAGAAGAGUAUAAUUUAAUAUUUUAUUUACAAGAAAUAUUACUGGGGAAGAAAAAGGUAUGCAAAGGUACACAUUCUUGAGGUCAAAAACAAAAAAACAACCCAAACUGCAGUUUAUUGUGUGAUUCCAGUCUGAUUUUAUGGAUGAUACUGAAUUAUUUGCGCUGAGCUUCAAUCUUUUGCAGCAACAGCUCCAUAUGCAGGUUAAGGUUGGGCUGACCCUUUUUGGU